AACCCUGUGCUUACAAGCACUGAGAGCUCGUCAAAGAGUGAUCAGGUACCUAUUGUAGAAUGGUCCGGCGAGUUAUGAUAUGCAGCAAGGUUAAGUACUUAAGGUACGGAGCCGCAGCGAGAGCGAGUCUGAAUAGGGCGUAAAGUUGUAUGUCAUAGACCCGAAACCGAGUGACCUAGCCAUGUCCAGGCUGAAGUGGAGGUAAAACUCCAUGGAGGGCCGAACCGACCUCCGUUGAAAAGGCGGCGGAUGAGGUGUGGCUAGCGGAGAAAUUCCAAUCGAACUCGGAUAUAGCUGGUUCUCUCCGAAAUAGCUUUAGGGCUAGCGUUGCAACAGAUUACCGGAGGUAAAGCACUGAAUAGGCUAGGGGGCGAGAGCUUACUGAACCUUAUCAAACUAAGAAUGCCGGAUAAUUGAUUUGCAGCAGUCAGACAGUGUGAGAUAAGUUUCAUUGUCAAAAGGGAAACAGCCCAGACCCACAGCUAAGGUCCCAAAGUACAUUUGAGUGGAAAAGGAUGUGGGGUUGCAUAGACAACCGGGAUGUUGGCUUAGAAGCAGCCAUACAUUAAAAGAGUGCGUAAUAGCUCACCGGUCGAGUGACCCUGCGCCGAAAAUUCAACGGGGCUAAAAUGUACACCGAAGCUUGGGAUUGUACUAUGUACAGUGGUAGGAGAGCGUCGAAUACGGGGUGAAGUCAGAGCGGAAGCGCUGGUGGACUGUAUUCGAGUGAGAAUGCCGGAAUGAGUAGCGAGAAUUAUGUGAGAAUCAUAAUGGCCGAAAGUCUAAGGUUUUGGAAGGAAGGUUCGUCCGCUUCCAGUAAGCCGGGAGCUAAGGUGAGGCCGAAAGGCGUAGCCGAUGCACAUACGGUUGAAAUUCCGUAGCCUCCGAAGUAUUUAAACAGAAGGACACUUGAGAAGUGAUGUUGCCGGGCGAUGGUUGACCCGGUCGUAAGGGACCGAAAUUUAGUAGGGAAGUCAUCAUGGAUUGAGGCGAGAAAAGUUCUGUGAAUAUACAAGGAGCCCGUACCGCAAACCGACACAGGUAGAUAGGAAGAAAAUUCUAAGGCCAACGGGAGAAGGGUUGUUAAGGAACUCGGCAAGUUGACCCCGUAACUUCGGAAUAAGGGGUGCUCUCGAGAGAGAGCCGCAGAGAAUAGGCCCAGGCGACUGUUUAGCAAAAACACAGCUCUAUGCUAAAUCGAAAGAUGAUGUAUAUGGGGUGACACCUGCCCGGUGCCGGAAGGUUAAGAGGAGGCGUGAGAGCGCUGAAUUGAAGCCCCGGUAAACGGCGGCCGUAACUAUAACGGUCCUAAGGUAGCGAAAUUCCUUGUCAGGUAAGUUCUGACCCGCACGAAUGGUGUAACGAUCUGGGCACUGUCUCAACAACCCGCCCGGCGAAAUUGUAGUACCGGUGAAGAUGCCGGUUACCCGCGACUAGACGGAAAGACCCCAUGGAGCUUUACUGUAGCUUAAUAUUGGAUUUC
rnacentral:rRNA from 1 species